GACGAACUCUGGCGGCGUGCUUAACACAUGCAAGUCGAACGGUAAGGCUCCAGCUUGCUGGGGUACACGAGUGGCGAACGGGUGAGUAACACGUGGGUGACCUGCCCUGCACUUCGGGAUAAGCCUGGGAAACUGGGUCUAAUACCGGAUAGGACCGCACCGUGAGGGUGUGGUGGAAAGUUUUUUCGGUGUGGGAUGGGCCCGCGGCCUAUCAGCUUGUUGGUGGGGUAAUGGCCUACCAAGGCGGCGACGGGUAGCCGGCCUGGGAGGGUGGACGGCCACAUUGGGACUGAGACACGGCCCAGACUCCUACGGGAGGCAGCAGUGGGGAAUAUCGCACGAUGGGCGGAAGCCUGAUGCAGCGACGCCGCGUGGGGGAUGACGGCCUUCGGGUUGUAAACUCCUUUCACCAUCGACGAAGGGUUUCUGACGGUAGAUGGAGAAGAAGCACCGGCUAACUACGUGCCAGCAGCCGCGGUAAUACGUAGGGUGCGAGCGUUGUCCGGAAUUACUGGGCGUAAAGAGCUCGUAGGUGGUUUGUCGCGUCGUCUGUGAAAUUCCGGGGCUUAACUCCGGGCGUGCAGGCGAUACGGGCAUAACUUGAGUACUGUAGGGGAGACUGGAAUUCCUGGUGUAGCGGUGAAAUGCGCAGAUAUCAGGAGGAGCACCGGUGGCGAAGGCGGGUCUCUGGGCAGUAACUGACGCUGAGGAGCGAAAGCAUGGGGAGCGAACAGGAUUAGAUACCCUGGUAGUCCAUGCCGUAAACGGUGGGCGCUAGGUGUGGGUUUCCUUCCACGGGAUCCGUGCCGUAGCUAACGCAUUAAGCGCCCCGCCUGGGGAGUACGGCCGCAAGGCUAAAACUCAAAGGAAUUGACGGGGGCCCGCACAAGCGGCGGAGCAUGUGGAUUAAUUCGAUGCAACGCGAAGAACCUUACCUGGGCUUGACAUAUACAGGAUCGCGCCAGAGAUGGUGUUUCCCUUGUGGCUUGUAUACAGGUGGUGCAUGGUUGUCGUCAGCUCGUGUCGUGAGAUGUUGGGUUAAGUCCCGCAACGAGCGCAACCCUCGUCUUAUGUUGCCAGCACGUUGUGGUGGGGACUCGUAAGAAACUGCCGGGGUUAACUCGGAGGAAGGUGGGGAUGACGUCAAAUCAUCAUGCCCCUUAUGUCCAGGGCUUCACACAUGCUACAAUGGUCGGUACAGUGGGUUGCCAGUCCGUGAGGGCGAGCUAAUCCCGCAAAGCCGGUCUCAGUUCGGAUCGGGGUCUGCAACUCGACCCCGUGAAGUCGGAGUCGCUAGUAAUCGCAGAUCAGCAACGCUGCGGUGAAUACGUUCCCGGGCCU
rnacentral:rRNA from 1 species